AACAAAUUAUCACAACCUUAAUGACUUAAAAACAACUCAAGUCUAUUAUGUUAGAUUUCUGGAAGUCAUACGUCCUAAAAUCAAGGUGUCAGCAGGACUGUAUUUCUUCUGGAGGUUCCAGGGGAGAUUUUAAUUCUUUGUCUUUUCCAAUUUCCAGAAGCCCCCUGCAUUCCUUGGCUUGCAGCAUGUUUUCUUACAUCACUUUGACCUCUACUUACAUCCUCACAUCUCCUGCUUUGACUCUCACCCUCCUGCCUGGGCCUGUGAUGGGAGCCGUGAAGCCCUUUGACAUGCCCUGGAGACAUUUUCCCCAUUGUCUUGGGGAUUAACAUUUGGCCCCUCGUUACUUAUGCAGAUUUUUCUGCCGUCCUUAUCAUGGUUUAUUCUGAUGAUGUACCUCUUAUAACCUGUAUAGCAAAGGGUGUUUCAAGGGAGAAGGUAAUAAAAAAUAGUGUUUAGAAUUUAAAUCAAACUUUUUAGAAUUUACCCAUGCUUUUGAAGUGACUUGUAUGAUAGGUUGGCCCAACUCAAAUACUUUCCACAGGAAUAUAAUUAUGUCUUGCAAAUAGUUUUCAAAAAUCAUCCAAAGAUUCCACUUGUCUUGCAAAAUUUGCAAGGAAUAAAAUCACAUGUACGAAUGUCACUGCCACCUCUUUUUCCUCAGUUACUUUCAAAUCCUGCCAUCCUCACUCCACUCUCACCAUGCCACUCUGCCAAAAUUACACCCAAAAAACCUGCCUGCAGAAAUUGUGUUUUUAGGGAGCUUGAUUAACCUAAGUAAUAACAACCACAACAAUAAACUCUGAGGGAGUAUGGAAGAAGGAAAUGUUUAAUACAUUGAAUUUGGUCUGUCUUUUCAUUUCCAUUAGGUCAAUCUUGAUUUUUCUUAGUAGAUUUUUUGACAUGGCUUAUCUGCACUGCUUAUUUAAGAAAAAGUGGUUACUAAAAUUGAUACAGAUUUUAAAAAAAUCUCCUAUCAUUGAAAAACUUAAAGUUUAAAACAAAAUUUAAAACAGGGUUGAGGUAUUUGGGGUUUUUGUAGUUUGGGAGCAGGGUAGGGGUUUUAUAUUAUGGAUUUCCUGCAAGACUCAGGGGUCUGCAGCAGAGAUGGCCACAAGCCCUAUGCAUUACACCUGAAGCCUCUUGUCUAAUAAAAAUCCUGCAGAAACUGGGUUUUAGAUUUAACCCUACUAAAAUUAAGUAUGUGAUAUUAGGCAACGUACUUCACCUUUUGCCAUGCUGGUGCGCUGCACCCACACAUUCUUAAAGUGUUG
rnacentral:lncRNA from 1 species